UACAGAGGUCCCAAGCGUUGUUCGGAUUCACUGGGCGUAAAGGGUGCGUAGGUGGUCGGGUAAGUCUAAUGUGAAAUCUCCGAGCUUAACUCGGAAAUGGCAUUGGAUACUAUUUGACUAGAGGGUUUGAGGGGGGACUGGAAUACUUGGUGUAGCAGUGAAAUGCGUAGAUAUCAAGUGGAACACCAGUGGCGAAGGCGAGUCCCUGGAAAACUCCUGACACUGAGGCACGAAAGCUAGGGGAGCAAACAGG
rnacentral:rRNA from 1 species